rnacentral:siRNA from 1 species
AUAUGUCACUUAUUAUCCAUUCAU